GUCUUUUUGAGUUAUUUUUAAAGUCUGACCUGCCCACUGAAUAUUUUUAAAUGGCCGCAGUAUUCUAACUGUGCAAAGGUAGCAUAAUCAUUAGUCUUUUAAUUGAAGGCUGGUAUGAACGGUUGGACGAAGUAUAAGCUGUUUCAUAUAAAAUUAUAUUAGAAUUUUAUAUUUUAGUUAAAAAGCUAAAAUAUAGUUAAAAGACGAGAAGACCCUAUAAAUCUUUAUAUUUAAUAUUAUUCAAAUUUUUUUGAUUUAUUUUAUUUUUAUUAUAUUAAAUAUUUUGUUGGGGUGAUAUUAAAAUUUAAAAAACUUUUAAUUGUGAAUUAAAACAUUAAUUUAUGAAUAGUUGAUCCAUUAUUAAUGAUUAUAAGAUUAAGUUACUUUAGGGAUAACAGCGUAAUUUUUUUUGAGAGUUCAUAUCGAUAAAAAAGUUUGCGACCUCGAUGUUGGAUUAAGAUAUAUAUUUAGGUGUAGCCGUUUAAAUAUUAAGUCUGUUCGACUUUUAAAUUCUUACAUGAUCUGAGUUCAA
rnacentral:rRNA from 1 species